rnacentral:lncRNA from 1 species
CAUCUCUUCAAAGGGUAGCCCUUCAAACGAAACCCGUGUACAUUCUGAAAAACAAAGCACACUGCUCCUUCUCGGUGCUCAUUCCAAGGGCAACCUGUGAGAGCAGCACCCAGGCCAGCGUGGAAGUCCAUCCCUGUCCAUCUUGUCACCGUCACUCGAUGACCUCAGAUGUCCUAGAAGCGAUGCCUCAGCCCCAGUGGGGCAGGGCCACCCCGUUUCAGCACCUGCUUCACCCAAAGCUUUCCUGAGGGAGUGUUUCCCAGACUUUCCAUCACCUUCAGGCUGCCUCUGUGAAUCCUGUAACAACAGCCUAAUUUCCCCCGCCUGCCCUCAUCCCGAAGCCAGGAGAGAGGCUAAUCUGACAUACAUAACGAUACGCGGAGGAGCAAGGGGACACAGAAGGGCUUCUGAAGAAGGUUCUGCGGGGGUCUAAGGAGCCUGGCAGAGUAGCUUUGCUGUGGGUGCUCUAUUAGUGGCGCCACGUCAGGGCGCGUCCCACCUACGGCACCACGCAGGGCGCACGCCACCUACGGCAGGGCGUCCCACCUACGGCACCACGCAGGGCGUUCCAUCGGUGCUGCUCCUGGAGCUCUUCAUUCCCCUUCACCUCUUCCAUGUGCAGGUGGAUUCCUUGUACUUUCAUGCUAACGAACCCAAGUAAGGCUGUCUGGAUGCUGAAGGCUCUCACUGCCCCAGAGUCAGCCCAGGAACAUGAAGUUCCAAGUGUGUCUAUCAGGGAGGAGGGAUAUGAAGAGCAGACACUACCUCAAGAGUUAAUCUCCCACCAAGCUCUCUCCAGCAGCAGAGAUCUGCCUUCAGCUCACUGAAAUUCCAAAUGAAAGGAUGGUAAGUUCACCUCAUUACCCAGGGAGGGAAACGUGGAGGCUCUCAACCUUCAGUGGCCUCAUAGCAAGACACUUGGGAAGCUUCUGGACCCAGACUUAGAGAGCUGGAGGCCAAGUCACUGAUGCAUACUGAGCUGAUGGGCGG